UGAAACGUCGAAAAAUGUCAAAUGGCAAGCCUCAUUCGACCCAGUGGUUUGUAUGGGCCGAGGACAUAGAAACAGACGGACGGAAUCGGGGGACCACUUUUUCGACCUCUCUACCAUCGUAAUGUCAUGUUUGAUUAAAAUCUCGAUUUCAAUUUUAUGUCUUUAAGAGUGCAAGUCUCUCAAAGCUGAGGUAUACAUACAAAGACAGUUCGAAGGACCUUGAAGAAUUUCGAGAAUGGCGAAUAAGCAGCGUUUUUGUGACUGUGCCUUUUUUUGUAAGGGUCCGCAGCCAGCCUCACAGCUCCUACACUUGUUUAAUUAUAAUUUUUAAUUAUGCAAUGAAUUUUAAACUUGUGACAUAUAAGGCUAGUUUUUAAGACGUGCGGUUUCCAAGAAGAAAUAAAAUGCAUAUAAUUUAAUGUCAAUAUAA